rnacentral:rRNA from 2 species
AUACGACUCUCGGCAAUGGAUAUCUCGGCUCUCGCAUCGAUGAAGAGCGCAGCGAAAUGCGAUACGUGGUGCGAAUUGCAGAAUCCCGCGAACCAUCGAGUCUUUGAACGCAAGUUGCGCCCGAGGCCAACCGGCCAAGGGCACGUCUGCCUGGGCGUCAAGC